rnacentral:siRNA from 1 species
GUGUGGUGGUCCUUCGUGGAGA